UACGAAGGGGGCUAGCGUUGCUCGGAAUCACUGGGCGUAAAGGGCGCGUAGGCGGCGUUUUAAGUCGGGGGUGAAAGCCUGUGGCUCAACCACAGAAUGGCCUUCGAUACUGGGACGCUUGAGUAUGGUAGAGGUUGGUGGAACUGCGAGUGUAGAGGUGAAAUUCGUAGAUAUUCGCAAGAACACCGGUGGCGAAGGCGGCCAACUGGACCAUUACUGACGCUCGGGUGCGAAAGCCAGGGGAGCGAACGGG
rnacentral:rRNA from 1 species